UUAGAGCAUGAAAAUAAAAAAAAACAACGCAGAAACCAAACCCAGGACUACUCAAACACGAUUUCUCCUCCCUUCUGCUUGCGUACUACUCUUCUAUGGCGUACAUUAAAGCUCUCUACUCUAAUUAAUCAAUUGUUCAUCUUCUCGCUAAACAAAAUUCCUGAAUUGAUGUCAACCAUUCCCCAAGAUGAAGGAAUGCAGAUGAGGAGUUGCAGCAGCAACAACAUAUGAGUUAUCCGGAAGCAGGUGAAUAACAAGCUCUGAAAUUCAACAUGGUUCUGUGCAUUUGAUUGGACAAAGUUGGACCUGUGUGUCUUCAACUUUCACGGCUACAAGAAGAAGUUACGUCUGACAACUUAUGGAAAAGGAUGCCGGAACAAUAUCUUUACAUUGGUUUGUUCAUGCUAAGGAACAAUAUGUACAAUUUAUAUAGAAUCGUACAUAUGCAAAGAGAUGAAUAUUGAGCCU